UACGGGGGGGAGCAAGCGUUGUUCGGAUUUACUGGGCGUAAAGGGCGCGUAGGCGGUCGUGACAAGUCACUUGUGAAAUCUCCGGGCUUAACUCGGAAAGGUCAAGUGAUACUGUCGGACUAGAGUACAGAAGGGGCAACUGGAAUUCUCGGUGUAGCGGUGAAAUGCGUAGAUAUCGAGAGGAACACCUGCGGCGAAGGCGGGUUGCUGGGCUGAUACUGACGUGAGGCGCGAAAGCUAGGGGAGCGAACGGG
rnacentral:rRNA from 1 species